AGAGUUUGAUCAUGGCUCAGAACGAACGCUGGCGGCAUGCCUAACACAUGCAAGUCGAACGAGACCUUCGGGUCUAGUGGCGCACGGGUGCGUAACGCGUGGGAACCUGCCUUUAGGUUCGGAAUAACUCAGAGAAAUUUGAGCUAAUACCGGAUAAUGUCUUCGGACCAAAGAUUUAUCGCCUUUAGAUGGGCCCGCGUUGGAUUAGCUAGUUGGUGGGGUAAAGGCCUACCAAGGCGACGAUCCAUAGCUGGUCUGAGAGGAUGAUCAGCCACACUGGGACUGAGACACGGCCCAGACUCCUACGGGAGGCAGCAGUGGGGAAUAUUGGACAAUGGGCGAAAGCCUGAUCCAGCAAUGCCGCGUGAGUGAUGAAGGCCUUAGGGUUGUAAAGCUCUUUUACCCGAGAUGAUAAUGACAGUAUCGAGAGAAUAAGCUCCGGCUAACUCCGUG
rnacentral:rRNA from 1 species